GAUGAACGCUGGCGGCGUGCCUAAUACAUGCAAGUCGAGCGAACGGACGAGAAGCUUGCUUCUCUAAUGUUAGCGGCGGACGGGUGAGUAACACGUGGAUAACCUACCUAUAAGACUGGGAUAACUUCGGGGAACCGUAGCUAAUACCGGAUAAUAUUUUGAACCGCAUGGUUCAAAAGUGAAAGACGGUCUUGCUGUCACUUAUAGAUGGAUCCGCGCUGCAUUAGCUAGUUGGUAAGGUAACGGCUUACCAAGGCAACGAUGCAUAGCCGACCUGAGAGGGUGAUCGGCCACACUGGAACUGAGACACGGUCCAGACUCCUACGGGAGGCAGCAGUAGGGAAUCUUCCGCAAUGGGCGAAAGCCUGACGGAGCAACGCCGCGUGAGUGAUGAAGGUCUUCGGAUCGUAAAACUCUGUUAUUAGGGAAGAACAUAUGUGUAAGUAACUGUGCACAUCUUGACGGUACCUAAUCAGAAAGCCACGGCUAACUACGUG
rnacentral:rRNA from 1 species